UCAGUUGGAGAGAGAGAUGUGUUGGAACUUGAUCUAUUAUCUCACUACAUGCCAUUGCUGUUUCUGGAAAGGAUAUGGGAUGUGAAAUGUAUCAAAGUAUGAUGCCAGCUGCACGCCUUUCUUUACGUCAAAAGAAGCCUCAUGAGGAUGUUGCAUUUGUACAUGAAUUGUCCAGUACACUGAAAAGACACAACAUUGCUAAAGAUUUUCAUCUUGAACUCAUCAGACUAGAUGGAACACCACCAAACUUCAAAAGGUUUCUUCCUUGCAUGUGUCCUAAUGAGUGCAUGAGGAAAGUCUUCAAUAGGAAUAUAUAGUUGAAGAAGCUAAUGGACUGCUGACUUACCACAACUGUAUGCAGGACAAUGCAGAAUGACUGCUCCAAAGAAGCAAAAAUAGUAC